rnacentral:rRNA from 1 species
GGGUUGUGAGGUUAAGCGACUAAGCGUACACGGUGGAUGCCCUGGCAGUCAGAGGCGAUGAAGGACGUGCUAAUCUGCGAAAAGCGUCGGUAAGGUGAUAUGAACCGUUACAGCCGGCGAUGUCCGAAUGGGGAAACCCAGUGCAAUUCGUUGCACUAUCGUUAACUGAAUACAUAGGUUAACGAGGCGAACCGGGGGAACUGAAACAUCUAAGUACCCCGAGGAAAAGAAAUCAACCGAGAUUCCCCCAGUAGCGGCGAGCGAACGGGGAGCAGCCCAGAGUCUGAAUCAGCUUGUGUGUUAGUGGAACGGUCUGGAAAGUCCGACGGUACAGGGUGAUAGUCCCGUACACCAAAAUGCACAGGUUGUGAACUCGAAGAGUAGGGCGGGACACGUGGUAUCCUG